GUUUGCCCAAACAUGGAAUCAAGGUCCAUCUGAUGUCCAGGUACUUGAAGGUGAUGAUGUGACAUUAAAAUGAAAACUUGAUGGUGAUGUAAUCUCAGGGCUUGAACCAAGAUGGGAGAGAACAAUAUCGGGGACAACUGUAUCAACCCUUAUAGCUACUAAUACAGCUGGUUGUGACCUUGAUGACUGUGAAUUUGUUAUUGAUAAUAUCACAGACUCGUAUAAUUUAGUAUUAACUGAUGUAAAACUGGCGGAUGAAGGUGAAUACAGGUGUAUGGUGUUGAAUCUAAAUCCACAAUACAAAUCAGCGAACUUGGGUGUGUGGGUCCUACCCUCAGAAGUAUCGAUUGAUGGCGAGAUGGAGAUAAGUAAAGAAAUGCCUGCACCAGGUGAAAGCAUAACAAUCAGCAGGACAUGCGAAGUUGAUGGUGUUGUCCCAAGUGCGACCAUAACAUGGGCCUACAAAAUAUCAUCAGUUGCUACUUCAAUAGAAGGUGAACUGGAUAAAGACUUUGUAUUUGGUGAUGUUGAGGAUGUCCCAGAAGGCGUGAAUUACAAUGUUGAGGUGAAGAAGUUUUCAGGAGAGUCAGAUGGUAAAUUUAAAAGCAAC